rnacentral:rRNA from 1 species
GCGUGGGAUAAGGCUAGGUUGUAAUCUCGGGAUAGAAGUCCGGAAUAGCACCGGUAACUCUGCCACGCCCGUACAGGUGCAGCUUACCGGAUUUACUGGGUUUAGCGUAGGUUUAAGUUGGUGAAAGCUUCACUACUGAGAUGCACUGAGCUGAAUAUGAAGUGCGGAAUAAAUGUACGGUAAAUGCAUAAUAUUUUAAACACCGUGCAAGGCCUAUCGUGGGGAUCAAACAGGAUUAGAUACCCUGGUAGUCCACGCCCUAACGAUGUACUCGUGUUCGCAAGAAAGCGUUAAGACACCUGGGGUCGUUCGCAAGAAAAAAAGAAUGGCGGGCGCAAGCGGUGGAUGGGUUAAUUCAUCAGAACUCGCUGAAGCACGGUGAUGC